CAGAGUAGAAAUCUGUGCGUUAAGUGCCUGAGGGACGGGGAGUUGCCAACAGGACGAAAGAGGAGAGAUCCUUUGCGGUGCAGGUUUCGCAUCCCGCUG
rnacentral:ncRNA from 1 species